UAGGAAGAUGACUGGGGAAGUUGUGGGGGUUUGCAUUUUUCUUUAAAUUUGACAAGUAUUUUAUUUAAUUUUUAUGGAUAAAAAGACUACAUGUCAUUUAUUCAUUGGUUACUUUGUCAUGUAUUUUAAUUCUUAUUUUUUCUUUUUAAUAUAAUAGACUUUUAAUGAGUUGGCAUGAUAUAAUUGGGCAUCCAAUCCACGUGGAUGCGCUUGGUUAAGACGCACUUGAAGUCAACAUGUGCUAUUGAAAAAAGUGUCAGAAUGACACAACGAAAUCUGAUAUGAGGCGUCUAAAAUGAAAAAAACCUAGUUAAAGAGUCUAAGUGAAAAUUGCUGCCAAGUUUAGGGGCCACCGAUGAGUUAGGCUUUUUUUUCCCAAUUUUCCGUCACAAAAAAUCAUGGUCUUUUUGUUUCUAUAAAAAAAUUAUAGAAGUUACCAAUUUUUUUAUUUUCCUUUUCAAUAAGUUUAAGUUGCGCCUCUUUGCUUUUCUCCAAACUAAAACUAGGUUUUCUCUUUUGUUGUUCCGCUGAGAAGCAGAUUAUUCUUGAAGUCAUCUCUGAAUUUUUCAUAGACUAAAGCUAGGUUUCUCUUUCAUUGUUUCGCUGAGAAGCAGAUUAUUCUUGAAGUCAUCUCAGAUGUUAAAUCGUUUAUGUGUAACUAUGAAGGCUUAAGAACAAGGCAAGAAUAUUCCAUUACGAAAAGAAGCAAAAAAGUUGAAAAAAGUGAAGAAAAGCAAGGUUGGAGCUCUUAAAAGACACUCGUCAACUCGCCGAGUGAGCUUUUAACUCGCUAAAGAUCCAGAGAAUUUGGCUCAUGAACUUAGCCAACUCGGAGAACUGAAGUGCAAAAUGGCGCAUCGCUGAAUUAAACGGUGAGAUCGACCCAAAUUGUCUAAAGGAAUAGAAAAAUAGGAGAGGUUAAGUCAAGUCUAAGCGGCGAGAACAGAUCCAAACGAUGAGUCACUGAAGCCAUUUGAUGACAUCCAUUAGGUUCGCCAACUAUAUAUGACGUCCUGAAUUCAAAAGUUCAAGCAGAUGUUUGGCGCUAAAACCUACCCAUCGGCGGUUCUUCGAGUCAUUCAACGAACCCGACUACUCUUGCCGACUUGGUCUCGAGAUAAAAUUUUGGGAAUUUUGUGGAAACAUAUAAUUUGUUUUUGAAGAGAGAUAAAGAGGACUUCACAUUACCAAUUAUUUUACUAGCAAAAACUUGUUUCUCUUGGAUAUUUUGAGCUAAGAAAUUGAGGUGUGAGGGUUUUAGUCUUAGUUUUUGGCAUUGAGUAUUGAAGAUUUCGGUGUCCUUAUAGAACAUAUUUUUGGUAACUCUUACUUAUUUUUUUACUAUGAUUGGCUAAACCUCAUUAACUAGGGUUGUGAUUAUGUAAUCGAAUACACAAAUUAGCUUGUGGAUAUUGUUAAUUGCUAAAUAUUAUGUUAUUUUGAAAUGAGUUCAAUUAUUUACUCAUGUUUUCAUCUA